rnacentral:lncRNA from 1 species
CUCCUCGAUCACUCAUUCUGAGAAGCCAGCUGUCACACGAUCAGCCCUAUGGAGAGGUCCACCUGGUGAGGAAGGGAGGCCUCCUGCCAACCACCUCAGCAUCAAUUUGCCAGCUAUGCAAGCGAGCCAUCUGGGAAAUGGAUCCUCCUGUCUCAGUCACGGUCUUUGUUGGCACUAGUUGUGAUAAAGAGAAAUAACACUACAAAUUGUUCCGAAGCCUUUGUUAGUGCCUGAAUAUUCUAAAGGCAUUCAAAUCCGAAAUUUCAGCAGUCAUGGUGUCCGAAAAGAUCCACAUCUGUAGGCCAACUUGGGCUAGGGAUGCCGUAUUAGGACCCUGCUGGAGGCCUAGGACAUCAUUCCUGUGUCUUUAGUGUGGAGCAGGAUGGGAAACAUCUGGCAAAUGACAUUGAAAAGUAAGGCCAGCUGCAUGAACAGGCAUCUUAAACAUGACGCUAAGAAAUUCAACAUUUUUUGAGCCUAAGUUUCUGACCUUUAAAGUUAUCUGAUUAGAUUUGUCUUUUAAAAAUAAAAAGAUCAUCAGUGUGGAGGAGACUGGAGAAGAAAAACACAGCAGUCCAGUACACCAAUGAUGAAGUCCAGUGAGAUCUAUGAAGUAUGAGUGUAUCCCAGCCAGGGCCCCCAACAACGAAAUGGGGGAUGAGGGAUGGAGAAGAAGGAGCCAGACGGUUACUUGAGGAGGGUAUUUGCUCAUCACUAGUUCAGCUCUCCACAGAAAAUCGUGAGAUCUUAGUUUUAAGAGAAAUGGGAACUCAGAAGGGCCAGUCCUCUGGAAGGGAUGGGCAUGGCCCUAGAUCCUUCCUUGCUGCUUCAUAGCUGCUUGAGGGGCCUGCAUCAUCAGACUGUUAAGAAUGACAGCAAGUGCUCGUAUGGAAUGGUUCUGUGGUGACUCAUGGGUGCCAGCUGACUCUAGAAAGCAGACAGGCACUAUAGGUAAAGGGCAGGGAUUCAGACAGGCCUGAUGGGCUUUCUGAGAUGUGUAUUUUGGGGGAACAAGCCUUCACGGGAGUGAAAGAAGAGCAAAGAGAUGUGUGGCCCAUUCUCAGGGACUUGUGUGUUCCUCAACCCGCUACCUGAGGGGCCAAAGGCAGAGCUGAAGAGCUUUUUUCAGGAAGGAUUGUGCGAGGUGCUGUGGCAAACAGGAUGAGUUUGUCCAUGGUUUGUUAUAAAAUGCUCUGGCACAGAAGUUAGUUAGCAUUUAAAGAAUGUCAACUUCAUCAAGAAGGUACACUCCAGCAGCUGGUAGGUAGCAUCUAAAAUUAGCAUAA